rnacentral:rRNA from 1 species
AUUGAACGCUGGCGGCAGGCUUAACACAUGCAAGUCGAGCGAGCGGCGGACGGGUGAGUAAUUUCUGGGAAACUGCCUGACGGAGGGGGCUAACUACUGGAAACCGUAGCUACUACCGCAUACCAUCCGAUCGGCUCCGAUGGGAUUAGCUAGUAGGUGAGGUAAUGGCUCACCUAGGCGACGCUCCCUAGCUGGUCUGAGAGGCUGAUCAGCCACACUGGAACUGAGACACGGUCCAGAAUCCUACGGGAGGCAGCAGUGGUGAAUAUUGAGCAAUGGGCGAAAGCCUGAUGCAGCCAUGCCGCGUGUGGGAAGAAGGUUUUCGGGUUGUAAAGCACUUUCGGCGGGGAGGCGUUACUUGCAUAGGAAGCACCGGCUAACUCCGUGCCAGCAGCCGCGGUAAUAC